GAUGAAGAACGCAGCGAAAUGCGAUAAGUAAUGUGGAUUGCAGAAUUCCGUGAAUCAUCGAAUCUUUGAACGCACAUUGCGCCCUCUGGUAUUCCGGGGGGCAUGCCUGUCCGAGCGUCAUUUGCAACCCUCAAGCCCGGCUUGUGUGAUGGGUGCCGUCCCCUACGGGACGCGCCCCGAAGGCAAUGGCGGCGUCGCGGUUAUCCGAUCAGCCAAAGUGUAUGGGGCUUUGUCACUCACUUUACGGCCCGGACCGGCGCCAGUCCGAAUCAAUCUUUUUUCUAAAGUUGACCUCGGAUCAGGUAGGGAUACCCGCUGAACUUAAGCAUAUCAAUAAGCGGAGGA
rnacentral:misc_RNA from 1 species